rnacentral:rRNA from 1 species
UACGGAGGGAGCUAGCGUUAUUCGGAAUUACUGGGCGUAAAGCGCACGUAGGCGGCUUUGUAAGUAAGAGGUGAAAGCCUGGAGCUCAACUCCAGAACUGCCUUUUAGACUGCAUCGCUUGAAUCCAGGAGAGGUGAGUGGAAUUCCGAGUGUAGAGGUGAAAUUCGUAGAUAUUCGGAAGAACACCAGUAGCGAAGGCGGCUCACUGGACUGGUAUUGACGCUGAGGUGCGAAAGCGUGGGUAGCAAACAGG